GGAGAAAUGGCUCAGCAGUUAAGAGCACUGGCUGUUCUUCCAGAGGACCUGGGUUCUAUUCCCAGCACCUACA
rnacentral:tRNA from 1 species